rnacentral:rRNA from 1 species
GGUUAAGCGACUAAGCGUACACGGUGGAUGCCUAGGCAAUCAGAGGCGAUGAAGGACGUGCUAAUCUGCGAUAAGCGUCGGUAAGGUGAUAUGAACCGUUAUACCCGACG